rnacentral:lncRNA from 1 species
GGUUCCUCCUGCUGACUCGUUCCUAUUCUGUGGAGUCCUGGAUGUUUCUGUUGGAUCGUGCCACCGCUGCUGAUUCCUGUUUGGUAUCCCAACACUACUGAACUGGACUGCUGGUAUCUUGACAACGGAGAUUGGAAUUGCCCCCAAGGAACUACUUCUGAAGAGGCCAUAAUAGAUGUCUCAAAAUACUCUUGCAGAGGACCUGGAUUCCAUUCUCAGCACCCACAUGGUGGCUUAUAACCAACUAUAACUUCAGUCCCAGGACCUGAGAACACGGUUAAACCAGAGUUCUCACUUCCAGUAUCACUCUGGGGAUAAAUCCAAAGGAAGCAUUACUCAAGAAGACGCCCGGGACUCUCCAUGGGGAUUCUUCCAGCUGCCUUGAUGGGGAGUCAUCUAUAUGGUGCUUCUACUUGUUUUAAAUGGCUUUUUGCCUCCAGUAGUGAGUUUCCGUAGGCUUUUGCCCCAUCAGUAAAUUUCCAUUUCUCUGAGACAUAUGCCACUCCCCUCUAAUGUACUGCAGAUCUCUUACCUGUUACACCACAGAGAGGAGAGAGUGCUGGGGUGCCCACACUUACCUCAGCCAGGCAACAAUUCAGUUAUUUCCAUGUCAGUGGACCAAGACAUAGGCCUGCUACAGAAGAGCUACAUAAGCACCAUUAGAUCAACAGAGAACAGGUGGCGUGGAACUCACCAGCGGGACACCUUAAAACCAAAGAAAAACACAGCCUCCUAAUAGCUGGAGAGCUGCCUCUCUCAACUAUUUGUAUUGCCUGCCAACAAACUUCACCUUUACUUUGUGGUCACUGUUUUUCUGUCUUUUAAUUCUUCAACUGAUGGAGGGAAGGAACCCACCUGCUAGCCAGUGUGAGAGCUACUGUAGAUUCUCCAUACCAUACAGAACAGAUAGGACGUUCAAUUUGUGCAGCAUUAUGUAGCUAGAAAAUAAUGAUUUGUGCCUGCUACCUAUCUGUGCCCCAAUAAAAAGUUUACUUAACAAAAACUAUAGCUGUUAUGAAGUGUGGUAGUGUAUAUCCCUGGUACAAGGAAUACAGAUCUAGGUUCUAACCCUGCUUUACCAGUUGCUCAAGUGACUUCAGUGCUUGGCACCAGCUUCCUUCUUUGUAGAAGAGAAUAUAAUACAUACUAAGGAUUUUAGCUGGGCUUGCUUAGCAUAUCAAAGUUCCUGAGCCAUAACAACAAUCAAAACUCAACAGGAGGCUGAAAAGAUGGCGCACACAGUCUGUAACUCCAGUGCCACAGAUUCCUAUGCCCUUUUCUGGCUUCUGCAUGUACUGAAUCCAG